rnacentral:rRNA from 1 species
CGCGUAGGCGGCUUGAUAAGUCAGAUGUGAAAGCCCCGGGCUUAACCUGGGAACUGCAUUUGAAACUGUUAAGCUAGAGUGUGGUAGAGGUAAGUGGAAUUCCAGGUGUAGCGGUGAAAUGCGUAGAGAUCUGGAGGAACAUCAGUGGCGAAGGCGGCUUACUGGACCAACACUGACGCUGAGGUGCGAAAGCGUGGGUAGCAAACA